GUGUUGACUCUCAGAGACGUACCUCCUCCAGCAAGGCAACACCUUCUAAUUUCCCCAGCCAGCAGGCACUGGGGACCAAGUAUUCAGAUACUGGAGACUUGUGGGAGACAUUCAAACUACCACAUAGAGGUGCCCGUGUCCUUCAACGCUGACAGCAGCCAGAGAUAAUCCUCUUGCACCCGCCCACCUGCAAGUGUGAGCACUAUAGUUUGUCUCCACAUCCAGGUUCUGCUGUGCUGGAAAUCAAACCCAGUGACACAUGUUUGCUAGCCAAGCACUCAAGUCCCGAGCUGCAUGCCCAGCCUGAGGCAUAAGAGCUGAUCCCUUUGCAUCGUCUUGGUGUUUCGGAAGUUUCCCCUCAGCCCGUGCCCCUGUCUGUUGCAGACAUGGCUCCCUGUGGAGCUGUGGUGGAACGAGCUGGGUGUUCCAACUCAGAUUCUAUAGGCAGAGGCCCUUCUUGUGUUAUUUCCCCCUCUAAUUUCUCCUCUGUCUUGUUCUCUGUUCACAGCAGCCUCCACAGAGGAGUCAUUAGAAAAGAAAAUACUUCCGUACUGAGGCUAUCAAAGGCUGAAUAGCAGCACCCCGACCUGGAGGAUCAUUCCCUCUCAUGUGUUUUCUGAUGGUUUGGCAACGCUGCUUCCCAAACAUCUGCAGUAAACAUCCCCCACCACAGUGAGA
rnacentral:lncRNA from 1 species